rnacentral:rRNA from 1 species
UACGUAUGGAGCAAGCGUUAUCCGGAUUUACUGGGUGUAAAGGGCGUGUAGCCGGGCUGACAAGUCAGAUGUGAAAUCCGGGGGCUCAACCCCCGAACUGCAUUUGAAACUGUUGGUCUUGAGUAUCGGAGAGGCAGGCGGAAUUCCUAGUGUAGCGGUGAAAUGCGUAGAUAUUAGGAGGAACACCAGUGGCGAAGGCGGCCUGCUGGACGACAACUGACGGUGAGGCGCGAAAGCGUGGGGAGCAAACAGG